GAGCCGUUAGCUCAGUAGGUAGAGCACCUGACUUUUAAUCAGGGGGUCCAGGGUUCGAAUCCCUGACGGCUCA
rfam:Candidatus Rokubacteria bacterium RIFCSPLOWO2_02_FTLL_72_37 rifcsplowo2_02_scaffold_6674, whole genome shotgun sequence.